UGGGGAAUUUUGGACAAUGGACGCAAGUCUGAUCCAGCAAUGCCGCGUGCAGGAUGAAGGCCUUCGGGUUGUAAAGCACUUUUGGCAGGAAAGAAAUCGCGCAAAUUAAUACUUUGCGUGGAUGACGGUACCUGCAGAAUAAGCACCGGCUAACUACGUGCCAGCAGCCGCGGUAAUAA
rnacentral:rRNA from 1 species